GAGCAAUGAGCUGCUGACAGCUGAGCUCCUCAGAUUAUAAACAGGCCGCCUCAGGGACCUGAGGUAAUAACCUCUGGUUUGGUGCUGUUUCUUGUGCUAGCCUAACUUACCUGGAAAGGCAGGAGAUGACCUGGCUGAAAGAGUGUCAGGCAUUCAUCACCUCAAACGCGGGUCUAUGCGGAGUGACCAGAUGUCUCCCACCAAGCAAGAGUUGCUGUUGCUGGCUUCACCUUGCAGAGCUCUAGGCAUUUUUUCUCAUCUCACUCCAAGACCUUACAGUCUGAGUUCUCCUUCCCAAAACAAGUUGAUCCAUGCAAGAAAACUGCUGCUGCUGGACUGCGCUGAGUGAGGCGUGGAUGUAAGGUAGACCCUCUGUAUGGGCAGUACAGUAUUGCUCUUAGUUCAAGCAUGCAGCAUGUUUUUUUUGCAAAUACGAUCAUUAGAUAUUUUGUUGGUCUGGUGCUUGAUAGAUUUCAAGUCUGACCUGCACAAGUCAGUCUUGUUUUUCAAUCAAAUGACAUGCAUUCAGUACUUCAAGCCUUGAACCUUCUGCUUCUCAAAGAGCUCCAUUAAUGUAUGAAAACAUCAUAUCCUCUGCAUAUGAAGACCACAGGCCUGCUCUAAAGAAAAUCCUCCAGAGCUGGUAUACUCCAUACUUCUGAACACCAUGAGAGCAGCUUUGUCUAGAAAGGUCGCAAAUGACCUUUAAUGUUUUGCAGAUUUCAGAUUUUUGCAUAUAUUUGGGGAAAUCACGUUUUUC
rnacentral:lncRNA from 1 species